AUUGAACGCUGGCGGCAUGCUUUACACAUGCAAGUCGAGCGGCAGCGCGGGGGCAACCCUGGCGGCGAGCGGCGAACGGGUGAGUAAUGCAUCGGAACGUAUCCUCGAGUGGGGGAUAACCCAGCGAAAGUUGGGCUAAUACCGCAUGAGCUCUGAGGAGGAAAGCGGGGGACCUGCGAGGGCCUCGCGCUGGAGGAGCGGCCGAUGUCCGAUUAGCUAGUUGGUGGGGUAAAGGCUUACCAAGGCGACGAUCGGUAGCUGGUCUGAGAGGAUGAUCAGCCACACUGGGACUGAGACACGGCCCAGACUCCUACGGGAGGCAGCAGUGGGGAAUUUUGGACAAUGGGGGCAACCCUGAUCCAGCCAUGCCGCGUGAGUGAAGAAGGCCUUCGGGUUGUAAAGCUCUUUCGGACGGAACGAAAUGGGCGGGACUAAUACUCCUGUCUGAUGACAGUACCGUAAGAAGAAGCACCGGCUAACUACGUG
rnacentral:rRNA from 1 species